CGCCGCCGCGCCCCGCGCCCGAUCCCGUCCGCCCCCGCCUCGAGACCCCUCCCAGGGUCGUCGGAUGAACGCUGGCGGCGUGCUAAACACCAUGCAAGUCGAACGAUGACCCGGUGCUUGCAUCGGUGAUUAGUGGCGAACGGGUGAGUAACACGUGAGUAACCUGCCCUUAACUCUUGGGAUAAGCCUGGGAAACUGGGUCUAAUACCGGAUAUGACUCCUUCAUCGCAUGGUGGGGGGUGGAAAGCUUUUUUGUGGUUUUGGAUGGACUCGCGGCCUAUCAGCUUGUUGGUGAGGUAAUGGCUUACCAAAGGCGAACGACGGGUAGCCGGCCUGAGAGGGUGACCGGCCACACUGGGACUGAGACACGGCCCAAAACUCCUACGGGAGGCAGCAGUGGGGAAUAUUGCACAAUGGGCGGAAGCCUGAUGCAGCGACGCCGCGUGAGGGAUGACGGCCUUCGGGUUGUAAACCUCUUUCAGUAGGGAAGAAGCGUAAGUGACGGUACCUGCAGAAGAAGCGCCGGCUAACUACGUGCCAGCAGCCGCGGUAAUACGUAGGGCGCAAGCGUUAUCCGGAAUUAUUGGGCGUAAAGAAGCUCGUAGGCGGUUUGUCGCGUCUGCCGUGAAAGUCCGGGGCUCAACUCCGGAUCUGCGGUGGGUACGGGCAGACUAGAAGUGAUGUAGGGGAGACUGGAAUUCCUGGUGUAGCGGUGAAAUGCGCAAGAUAUCAGGAGGAACACCGAUGGCGAAGGCAGGUCUCUGGGCAUUAACUGACGCUGAGGAGCGAAAGCAUGGGGAGCGAACAGGAUUAGAUACCCUGGUAGUCCAUGCCGUAAACGUUGGGCACUAGGUGUGGGGGACAUUCCACGUUUUCCGCGCCGUAGCUAACGCAUUAAGUGCACCCGCCUGGGGAGUACGGCCGCAAGGCUAAAACUC
rnacentral:rRNA from 1 species